GAUGAACGCUGGCGGCGUGCCUAAUACAUGCAAGCCGAACGCUUUGUGGUUCAACUGAUUUGAAGAGCUUGCUCAGAUAUGACGAUGGACAUUGCAAAGAGUGGCGAACGGGUGAGUAACACGUGGGAAACCUACCUCUUAGCAGGGGAUAACAUUUGGAAACAGAUGCUAAUACCGUAUAACAAUGACAACCGCAUGGUUGUUAUUUAAAAGAUGGUUCUGCUAUCACUAAGAGAUGGUCCCGCGGUGCAUUAGCUAGUUGGUAAGGUAAUGGCUUACCAAGGCGAUGAUGCAUAGCCGAGUUGAGAGACUGAUCGGCCACAAUGGGACUGAGACACGGCCCAUACUCCUACGGGAGGCAGCAGUAGGGAAUCUUCCACAAUGGGCGAAAGCCUGAUGGAGCAACGCCGCGUGUGUGAUGAAGGGUUUCGGCUCGUAAAACACUGUUGUAAGAGAAGAAUGACAUUGAGAGUAACUGUUCAAUGUGUGACGGUAUCUUACCAGAAAGGAACGGCUAAAUACGUGCCAGCAGCCGCGGUAAUACGUAUGUUCCAAGCGUUAUCCGGAUUUAUUGGGCGUAAAGCGAGCGCAGACGGUUAUUUAAGUCUGAAGUGAAAGCCCUCAGCUCAACUGAGGAAUUGCUUUGGAAACUGGAUGACUUGAGUGCAGUAGAGGAAAGUGGAACUCCAUGUGUAGCGGUGAAAUGCGUAGAUAUAUGGAAGAACACCAGUGGCGAAGGCGGCUUUCUGGACUGUAACUGACGUUGAGGCUCGAAAGUGUGGGUAGCAAACAGGAUUAGAUACCCUGGUAGUCCACACCGUAAACGAUGAGUGCUAGGUGUUUGAGGGUUUCCGCCCUUAAGUGCCGCAGCUAACGCAUUAAGCACUCCGCCUGGGGAGUACGACCGCAAGGUUGAAACUCAAAGGAAUUGACGGGGACCCGCACAAGCGGUGGAGCAUGUGGUUUAAUUCGAAGCAACGCGAAGAACCUUACCAGGUCUUGACAUCCCUUGACAACUCCAGAGAUGGAGUGUUCCCUUCGGGGACAAGGUGACAGGUGGUGCAUGGUUGUCGUCAGCUCGUGUCGUGAGAUGUUGGGUUAAGUCCCGCAACGAGCGCAACCCUUAUUACUAGUUGCCAGCAUUCAGUUGGGCACUCUAGUGAGACUGCCGGUGACAAACCGGAGGAAGGUGGGGAUGACGUCAAAUCAUCAUGCCCCUUAUGACCUGGGCUACACACGUGCUACAAUGGCGUAUACAACGAGCUGCCAACCCGCGAGGGUGAGCUAAUCUCUUAAAGUACGUCUCAGUUCGGAUUGUAGGCUGCAACUCGCCUACAUGAAGUCGGAAUCGCUAGUAAUCGCGGAUCAGCACGCCGCGGUGAAUACGUUCCCGGGUCUUGUACACACCGCCCGUCACACCAUGAGAGUUUGUAACACCCAAAGCCGGUGGGGUAACCUUCGGGAGCCAGCCGUCUAAGGUGGGACAGAUGAUUAGGGUG
rnacentral:rRNA from 1 species